AACACAUGCAAGUCGAACGGUAACAGGAAGCAGCUUGCUGCUUCGCUGACGAGUGGCGGACGGGUGAGUAAUGUCUGGGAAACUGCCUGAUGGAGGGGGAUAACUACUGGAAACGGUAGCUAAUACCGCAUAACGUCGCAAGACCAAAGAGGGGGACCUUCGGGCCUCUUGCCAUCGGAUGUGCCCAGAUGGGAUUAGCUAGUAGGUGGGGUAACGGCUCACCUAGGCGACGAUCCCUAGCUGGUCUGAGAGGAUGACCAGCCACACUGGAACUGAGACACGGUCCAGACUCCUACGGGAGGCAGCAGUGGGGAAUAUUGCACAAUGGGCGCAAGCCUGAUGCAGCCAUGCCGCGUGUAUGAAGAAGGCCUUCGGGUUGUAAAGUACUUUCAGCGGGGAGGAAGGGAGUAAAGUUAAUACCUUUGCUCAUUGACGUUACCCGCAGAAGAAGCACCGGCUAACUCCGUGCCAGCAGCCGCGGUAAUACGGAGGGUGCAAGCGUUAAUCGGAAUUACUGGGCGUAAAGCGCACGCAGGCGGUUUGUUAAGUCAGAUGUGAAAUCCCCGGGCUCAACCUGGGAACUGCAUCUGAUACUGGCAAGCUUGAGUCUCGUAGAGGGGGGUAGAAUUCCAGGUGUAGCGGUGAAAUACGUAGAGAUCUGGAGGAAUACCGGUGGCGAAG
rnacentral:rRNA from 1 species